CCCUACGGGGGGCAGCAGUGAGGAAUAUUGGUCAAUGGCCGGAAGGCUGAACCAGCCAAGUCGCGUGAGGGAAUAAGGCCCUAUGGGUCGUAAACCUCUUUUGUCAGGGAGCAAAGGCGUCCACGUGUGGACGAGAGGAGAGUACCUGAAGAAAAAGCAUCGGCUAACUCCGUGCCAGCAGCCGCGGUAAUACGGAGGAUGCGAGCGUUAUCCGGAUUUAUUGGGUUUAAAGGGUGCGUAGGCGGAGUGUCAAGUCAGCGGUAAAAUUUCGGGGCUCAACCCCGCCGUGCCGUUGAAACUGACGC
rnacentral:rRNA from 1 species